GGGGGCGACCUGGUUUCGACGUGGUCGAUCCAUCCGGAUGAGCUGCAAGCCGAGGUCGCCGGUAGGCCUCGUUAAUCCACCGGCACCAAUAAAUGCGAAUCAGCAUGAUCUCGCAAUCGCUGCCUAAGGCAACUUAGAUCCAGCGACGUCCCGCCGGAUAUGCCUGUGAUCCGGCGCGACGCUAACGAACAGGCUGGCGCCGAAGAAAUGCCAAUCGUCGGAGGCGCGAGAUUUAAGGAUGGCUGGCUCGUCGGCAGGGCGGUGGCACUCCGGCCGGCGAGCGAGAUCUAAGUGCCACCUACGCUUGUAGAUGCUUAGCCGGUGCGGCUACGGACGCGGGUUCGAUUCCCGCCGCCUCCACUC
rnacentral:tmRNA from 1 species